GUCCCUGUAGUGCAAUGAAUAGCACAUUGAACCUCUAAUCCAACUGUCAUGGGCUUGAAUCCCAUCUGAGGUU